UACGGAGGGGACUAGCGUUGUUCGGAAUUACUGGGCGUAAAGCGCACGUAGGCGGAUUUGUAAGUCAGGGGUGAAAUCCCGGGGCUCAACCUCGGAACUGCCUUUGAUACUGCAAAUCUCGAGUCCGGAAGAGGUGAGUGGAACUGCGAGUGUAGAGGUGAAAUUCGUAGAUAUUCGCAAGAACACCAGUGGCGAAGGCGGCUCACUGGCCCGAUACUGACGCUGAGGCACGAAAGCGUGGGAGCAAACAGGG
rnacentral:rRNA from 1 species